rnacentral:rRNA from 1 species
AGUGAACGCUGGCGGUAGGCCUAACACAUGCAAGUCGAACGGCAGCACAGGAGAGCUUGCUCUCUGGGUGGCGAGUGGCGGACGGGUGAGGAAUACAUCGGAAUCUACUCUGUCGUGAGGGAUAACGUAGGGAAACUUACGCUAAUACCGCAUACGACCUACGGGUGAAAGCAGGGGACCUUCGGGCCUUGCGCGAUUGAAUGAGCCGAUGUCGGAUUAGCUAGUUGGCGGGGAAAAGGCCCACCAAGGCGACGAUCCGUAGCUGGUCUGAGGGGAUGAUCAGCCACACUGGAACUGAGACACGGUCCAGACUCCUACGGGAGGCAGCAGGGGGGAAUAUUGGACAAUGGGCGCAAGCCUGAUCCAGCCAUACCGCGUGGGUGAAGAAGGCCUUCGGGUUGUAAAGCCCUUUUGUUGGGAAAGAAAUCCAGCUGGCUAAUACCCGGUUGGGAUGACGGUACCCAAAGAAUAAGCACCGGCUAACUUCGUGCCAGCCGCCGCGGUAA